CACGCAGGAGGUGAAGAGCACUGCACGUGGCGCGCCCAGAGGAGAGGAAUCAGCACUUUCAGAGCUGUUACUGUAGCUGCAGUACCAGUAAUUGCAACCUACCAAGAAUAAACAGCAGCCAGAGAUCCUCAAGUGGUUGCUCCUGUCUGCAUCUCCAAGCUCGGGGCAUACCGGCCAUCAGUGGCGGACUGGCCAUCGGGACGUUCGGGACGAAUCCCGAUGGGCCGGUCGGGCCACUCGGCCCACUUCGGUACCGGCAGGGGCGGACUGACCAUCUGUAGAAUCACCGAACGGCCGGGUCGGUUUGCUGUUUUUAAACGGCAUCAUUGAAGUUGCGCUGACAGGCGACAGAGGUCCACCGUUUCCCAGUCCGCCCCUGCCGGCCAUCAUCUACUCUAGGUAAUACACUGACUAUG